UGGGGGAUAUUGCACAAUGGGCGAAAGCCUGAUGCAGCGACGCCGCGUGGGGGAUGAAGUCUUUCGGGUUGUAAACCUCUUUCGCUAUCGAACAAGGCCCGCUUAGGGUGGGUUGAGGGUAGGUGGAGAAGAAGCGCCGGCUAACUACGUGCCAGCAGCCGCGGUAAUACGUAGGGCGCGAGCGUUGUCCGGAAUUAUUGGGCGGAAAGGGCUUGUAGGCGGCUUGUUGCGCAUGAUGUGAAAACGCGGGGCUUAACUUCGCGCGUGCAGUGGGUACUGGCAGGCUUGAGUGUGGUAGGGGUGACUGGAAUUCCAGGUGUAGCGGUGGAAUGCGCAGAUAUCUGGAGGAAUACCGAUGGCGAAGGCAGGUCACUGGGCCAUUACUGACGCUGAGGAGCGAAAGCAUGGGUAGCGAACAGG
rnacentral:rRNA from 1 species